UGGGGAAUAUUGCGCAAUGGGCGAAAGCCUGACGCAGCGACGCCGCGUGAGGGAUGAAGGUUUUCGGAUCGUAAACCUCUGUCAGAAGGGAAGAAACCGCACUGUGCUAAUCAGCAGUGCCUUGACGGUACCUUCAAAGGAAGCACCGGCUAACUCCGUGCCAGCAGCCGCGGUAAUACGGAGGGUGCAAGCGUUAAUCGGAAUUACUGGGCGUAAAGCGCACGUAGGCUGCUUUGUAAGUCAGGGGUGAAAUCCCACGGCUCAACCGUGGAACUGCCUUUGAUACUGCUUAGCUUGAAUCCGGGAGAGGGUGGCGGAAUUCCAGGUGGAGGAGUGAAAUCCGUAGAUAUCUGGAGGAACAUCAGUGGCGAAGGCGGCCACCUGGACCGGUAUUGACGCUGAGGUGCGAAAGCGUGGGGAGCAAACAGG
rnacentral:rRNA from 1 species